rnacentral:rRNA from 1 species
UUGGACAUGGGCGAAAGCCUGAUCCAGCCAUGCCGCGUGUGUGAAGAAGGUCUUCGGAUUGUAAAGCACUUUAAGUUGGGAGGAAGGGCCAUUACCUAAUACGUGAUGGUUUUGACGUUACCGACAGAAUAAGCACCGGCUAACUCUGUG